rnacentral:rRNA from 1 species
GACGAACGCUGGCGGCGCGCUUAACACAUGCAAGUCGAGCGAGAACCUGGGCUUCGGCCCUGGGGACAGCGGCGAACGGGUGAGUAACACGUGGGUAAUCUGCCCUUGACAUCGGGAUAG